UAGCCUUCAUCUUAUUAUAUUAAAGGUUACUCCCUUGUUCGUUAUAGCCUUCAUCUUAUUAUAUUAAAGGUUACUCCCUUGUUCGUUAUAGCCUUCAUCUUAUUAUAUUAAAGGUUACUCCCUUGUUCGUUAUAGCCUUCAUCUUAUUAUAUUAAAGGUUACUCCCUUGUUCGUUAUAGCCUUCAUCUUAUUAUAUUAAAGGUUACUCCCUUGUUCGUUAUAGCCUUCAUCUUAUUAUAUUAAAGGUUACUCCCUUGUUCGUUAUAGCCUUCAUCUUAUUAUAUUAAAGGUUACUCCCUUGUUCGUUAUAGCCUUCAUCUUAUUAUAUUAAAGGUUACUCCCUUCUUCG